rnacentral:rRNA from 1 species
UCCAAAGGUGGGGCGUGCUUACACAUGCAAGUCGUGGGCACCAGCAAUGGUGACCGGCAAACGGGUGCGUAACACGUGAACGACCUACCGAUUUGAGGGGGAUAGCCGGCCCAACGGCCGGGUAAUACCGCAUACGUCACAUGCGCUGCAUGGUGCAUGUGGGAAACCUACGGGGCAAAUCGAGGGGUUCGCGGCCUAUCAGCUAGUUGGCGAGGUAACGGCUCACCAAGGCGACGACGGGUAGCUGGUCUGAGAGGAUGGCCAGCCACAUUGGGACUGAGAAACGGCCCAGACUCCUACGGGAGGCAGCAGUGGGGAAUAUUGCGCAAUGGCCGAAAGGCUGACGCAGCGACGCCGCGUGUAGGAUGAGGCCCUUCGGGGUGUAAACUACUGUUGCCCGGGACGAACGGCAGACUUUGGUCUGCGUGACGGUACCGGGUGAGGAAGCACCGGCUAACUCCGCGCCAGCAGCCGCGGUAAUACGGAGGGUGCGAGCGUUGUCCGGAAUCACUGGGCGUAAAGGGCGCGUAGGUGGCUUGGUAAGGGGGCGGUGAAAGCCCGGGGCUCAACCCCGGGUCUGCCGGACCGACUGCUGAGCUAGAGCACACUAGAGGCAAGUGGAAUUCCGGGUGUAGCGGUGGAAUGCGUAGAGAUCCGGAAGAACACCGGUGGCGAAGGCGGCUUGCUGGGGUGUGGCUGACACUGAUGCGCGACAGCGUGGGGAGCAAACAGGAUUAUAUACCCUGGUAGUCCACGCCGUAAAUGAUGGGCACUAGGUGCUCGGUGGAGCGACUCUCUGGUGUUGGCUUUAACACAUUAAGGGCCCCGCCUGUGGAUACGGUCUCAAGGUGAAACUCAAAGGAUUGGUCGGGGGACCCGCACAAG